GGAAAUUGGAAAGUUUCCAUUAAAAAUAAUUUUUUCAGGUUCAGAAGAGCCCAAGCCUUUAGGAAACCUGAUUAUUCCCAGUCCUAAUCUAAGUGUGACCAGAACCCCAAAUUUCUUUUCAUCACUAUUUAUUUCAAUACAGUCCUGUUGUUCUCCCAUAAUUUUUUGAGUGCCAGUGUAGGUAGGAAAAUUGAAAUUUUGCCACAGGAGAGGUCAUUUAACUGAGUUCUCAGUGACUUCUUUUUCCUUUCACUUCAAGGAAGGGAAAUUUAUCUCACUUUAUUUCAAUUAUUAUGGAACAAAUCCUCUUGAAAGCAGCUGAACCAGCUCCAAAAUUGCUUCUCUGCUGGGGGGAGUUGACCAGACCUGUGAAAACCACAAUGCAUUGGAAAUAAAUUGAGAUUUAAAGCACAUUUACAGACCCUUGGUGCCUGUUUUUUGCAGGGAUCAUGUGGAUUUGAAGAGGGAAUCUAAAGCCAUGGAGGAUAAAGGUUUCUGUGCUGUGCCACAGGGGGAUUUCAGUGCAGAUGUAAAAUCCCUGGGGCAGGAGGAUGGUGCACCCUUGGUGGACAGUCCUAAACCUUUGAUAUUACCCCUGCUGAGAGCCUUGAAUGCUCCGGAAUUCGCGGUGGAUUUCAGCUCCCUGCCCGACGAGGUGAAGGCCCUGGCUCGGGAUGGCUGCAGGUCCCUGCUGGAGCAGCAGUGCCACGGGGCCGAGCGAGCCUUUGCCCAGCUCCUGGCCAUCCUCUACAGCUCAGGAUUUUCGUAUGUGAAUAUUCUUAAUAUUAAUUAUGUUAUAUUCCUCUAUGGACAUGCCACUGCCCUCCUGGGAAUAGGACAUCCUGAGGUAGAGUAUGAAUUAAUUUGUAUUUUUAUUUAUUUACAUACUUAUUUUUAUUUAUUUUAUAUUUAA
rnacentral:lncRNA from 1 species